UCCAAGUUGCUUCGGCGGCGCGGCACCCCUUAACGGGGGCGCCGCAGCCCUGCCUCUCCGGAGGUUCGGGGCGCCCGCCGGAGGUACGAAACUCUGUAUUAUAGUGGCAUCUCUGAGUAUAAAACAAAUAAGUUAAAACUUUCAACAACGGAUCUCUUGGUUCUGGCAUCGAUGAAGAACGCAGCGAAAUGCGAUAAGUAAUGUGAAUUGCAGAAUUCAGUGAAUCAUCGAAUCUUUGAACGCACAUUGCGCCCGGUAGUACUCUACCGGGCAUGCCUGUUCGAGCGUCAUUUCAACCCUCAAGCCCUGCUUGGUGUUGGGGCCCUACGGCUGCCGUAGGCCCUGAAAGGAAGUGGCGGGCUCGCUACAACUCCGAGCGUAGUAAUUCAUUAUCUCGCUAGGGAGGUUGCGGCGUGCUCCUGCCGUUAAAGACCCAUCUUUAACCAAGGUUGACCUCGGAUCAGGUAGGAAUACCCGCUGAACUUAAGCAUAUCAAUAAGCGGAGGAAAAGAAACCAACAGGGAUUGCCCUAGUAACGGCGAGUGAAGCGGCAACAGCUCAAAUUUGAAAUCUGGCUUCGGCCCGAGUUGUAAUUUGUAGAGGAUGCUUUUGGUGAGGUGCCUUCUGAGUUCCCUGGAACGGGACGCCAGAGAGGGUGAGAGCCCCGUAUAGUCGGCCACCGAUCCUUUGUAAAGCUCCUUCGACGAGUCGAGUAGUUUGGGAAUGCUGCUCAAAAUGGGAGGUAUAUCUCUUCUAAAGCUAAAUAUAGGCCAGAGACCGAUAGCGCACAAGUAGAGUGAUCGAAAGAUGAAAAGCACUUUGAAAAGAGGGUUAAAUAGCACGUGAAAUUGUUGAAAGGGAAGCGCUUGUGACCAGACUUGUGCCGGGCUGAUCAUCCAGUGUUCUCACUGGUGCACUCGACCCGGCUCAGGCCAGCGUCGGUUUUCGUGGGGGGAUAAAAGCUUCGGGAACGUGGCACCUUCGGGUGUGUUAUAGCCCGUUGCUUAAUACCUCCGUGG
rnacentral:rRNA from 1 species